AUUGAACGCUGGCGGCAGGCCUAACACAUGCAAGUCGAGCGAGCGGCGGACGGGUGAGUAAUGCCUGGGAAUUGCCCAGUCGAGGGGGAUAACAGUUGGAAACGACUGCUAAUACCGCAUACGAUUGGAUUGCCCAGGUGGGAUUAGCUAGUUGGUGAGGUAAUGGCUCACCAAGGCCACGAUCCCUAGCUGGUCUGAGGGGAGGAAGAGCAACACUGGAACUGAGACACGGUCCAGAUUCCUACGGUAGGAAGCAGGGGGGAAUAUUGCAUAAGGGGGGAAACCCUGAUGCAGCCAUGCCACGUGUGUGAAGAAGGCCUUCGGGUUGUAAAGCACUUUAAGCGAGGAGGCGUUACUCGCAGAAGAAGCACCGGCUAACUCCGUGCCAGCAGCCGCGGUAAUAC
rnacentral:rRNA from 1 species